CUAGCUCUCGACAAUCUUGGUUUUGCUCUAGGAAGCUGUGACACAAUACCAAAGGUGGCCAUUCCUAACAAUGCUUUUGAUUGUUCAAUUGGUUCAUUCUUUUCCUUUAAAAGUAAGAAAUGUGAAAAAUGUCCCAUCUAUACAUAUCAACCAUAUCCAAAACAAACUCGUUGUUUUCCCUGUAAUGAGAGUAAAGGUACCAUCAAUGUUGGUGCAGUGAGUGAACGAGAAUGUAUAAAAGUCAAAAGAUGUGAUUUUCAAAAGGGACUGGGAACUACUGAAUGUCCAUGGCACAACGUAGAAGGUG